ACACCAGACUCCUACGGGAGGCAGCAGUGAGGAAUAUUGGUCAAUGGUCGGGAGACUGAACCAGCCAAGCCGCGUGAGGGAGGAAGGUACAGAGUAUCGUAAACCUCUUUUGUCAGGGAACAAAGGCGGGGACGUGUCCCCGGAUGAGUGUACCUGAAGAAAAAGCAUCGGCUAACUCCGUGCCAGCAGCCGCGGUAAUACGGAGGAUGCGAGCGUUAUCCGGAUUUAUUGGGUUUAAAGGGUGCGCAGGCGGUCUGUUAAGUCAGCGGUCAAGGCCGGGGCCACACCCCCGGCGAGCCGUUGAAACUGGCUGUCUUGAGAUGCCGAGAGGUAUGCGGAAUGCGCAGUGUAGCGGUGAAAUGCAUAGAUAUCACGCAGAACUCCGAUUGCGAAGGCAGCAUACCGGCGCUCAACUGACGCUGAAGCACGAAGGCGUGGGUAUCGAACAGGAUUAGAUACCCCCGUA
rnacentral:rRNA from 1 species